rnacentral:rRNA from 1 species
CACGUAGGAGGCGAGCGUUGUCCGGAAUCAUUGGGCGUAAAGAGCGCGCAGGCGGCUUGGCAAGUCGGGUGUGAAAUCCCGGGGCUCAACCCCGGGUCUGCCAUGCCGACUGUCAGGCUAGAGUACUGUAGGGGCAGGCGGAAUUCCGGGUGUAGCGGUGGAAUGCGUAGAGAUCCGGAGGAAGACCGGUGGCGAAGGCGGCCUGCUGGGCAGUUACUGACACUGAUGCGCGACAGCGUGGGGAGCAAACAGG